rnacentral:rRNA from 1 species
GACGAACGCUGGCGGCGUGCCUAAUACAUGCAAGUAGAACGCUGAAGGAGGAGCUUGCUUCUCUGGAUGAGUUGCGAACGGGUGAGUAACGCGUAGGUAACCUGCCUGGUAGCGGGGGAUAACUAUUGGAAACGAUAGCUAAUACCGCAUAAGAGUAGAUGUUGCAUGACAUUUGCUUAAAAGGUGCAAUUGCAUCACUACCAGAUGGACCUGCGUUGUAUUAGCUAGUUGGUGGGGUAACGGCUCACCAAGGCGACGAUACAUAGCCGACCUGAGAGGGUGAUCGGCCACACUGGGACUGAGACACGGCCCAGACUCCUACGGGAGGCAGCAGGAGGGAAUCUUCGGCAAUGGACGGAAGUCUGACCGAGCAACGCCGCGUGAGUGAAGAAGGUUGUCGGAUCGUAAAGCUCUGUUGUAAGAGAAGAACGAGUGUGAGAGUGGAAAGUUCACACUGUGACGGUAUCUUACCAGAAAGGGACGGCUAACUACGUG